rnacentral:lncRNA from 1 species
CUGCCUCCUGGACAGAGACGUUGCCACCCUCAUGACUUCCCCAGCCAUGGCCCAGCCCCAGAGCCUCCAGCACAUGAGUUUACUCUGAACAAGGGGCCUGCUAAUAGGGUGCAUCUUCCCAGAGGAAAAGCAGUCAUGUCCUUGAUGACUUCUUUUUUUCUGACCUUUCCCAUCAUGGGGCCAUUCAAAGUUCAGUUUUGGGGUAUUUGACCAGCCCACAAGCAACCUCUCUUUUUCCUAAGAAUUACCCACCCUAUCUGUGGUGGGCUCCAGGCAGCCAUGGCUCUGCACUCCUGGACACGUGGUUGACCAGAGCUACUUACUGGACCCAAGAGAACUCACCAGGUUCUUAUCUCCACCAGCAGGAGGGGAGCCCACAUUGUGAGUCUGCAGACAGCUCAACUCAGAGCACACAAACUUGGGCUCUUGGGGACCAAUGCAAUGCGGCACCAGAGGAAAGGAGAGGUAAGAAGCAGCUCCUGGUCCGGGUUCCAGACCAGCUAAUCUCAGGCUGCAGUUGUGUCCUGGGGGCCCACAAGAUGCCCACUAUCUUGUAAUCAACUCCUCAUUAUUUUUUGUUUGUUUAAACUAGCACUAGUUACUUGUAAGAAUCUUUUCAGCUAUAUAAGUGAUGAAACGCUGACACAGGCUACACAUUGGAUGAGGCUUGAGAACAUUAUUCUAAGUGAAAGACCCGACAUAAAAGCCACGUAUUGUGUGGUUCCUUUCAUAUGAAAUAUCCAGAACAGGCAAAUCCAUGGAAUCAGAAAGUAGAUCCGUGGCUGCCAGGGGCUGGGGGAAAGGGAGAAUGGGGAGUGAUUACUUAAAGGAUAUGAGAUGCCCUUCCGGGGUGGUGAAAACAUUUGGUAACUGGAUUGAGGUGGUGGUUGCACAACACUGUGAAUGCACAACACGCCACUGGAUCAUACGUUUUGAAAUUAUCAAUUGUGAGACUUCCUAUCAUGGCUCAGCGGUUAAUGAACCCGACUGGUAUCCAUGAGGACACAGGUUCAAUCCCUGGCCUUGCUCAGUGGGUUAAGAAUCCCUCAUUGCUGUGGUUGUGCCAUAGGCCAGCAGCUGUGGCUUCGAUUCGACCCCUAGUCUGGGAACUUCCAUGUGCUGCAGGUGUCUUUUUAAAAAGACAUAAAAUAAAAUUAAAAUAAAAUAAAAUAGUCAAUUGUACGUUACAUGAAUGUCAUCUCAAUUUAAAAUAAAGAAAGAGAAGUUCCCAUCGGGGUGCAGCAAAAACAAAUCUGACUAACAGCCAUGAGGUUGUGGGUUUGAUCCCUAUCCUCGCUCAGUGGGUUAAGGAUCCGGCAUUGCCAUGAGCUGUGGUAUAGGUAGCAGUCAUGGCUUGGAUCUGGCAUUGCUGUGGCUGUGGCAUAGGCCAGGGACAACAGCUCUGAUUAGACCCCUAGCCUGGAAACUUCCAUAUGCCAUGGGUGCGGCCCUAAAAAUAGACUAAAUAAAUAAAUAAAUAAAAAGAAAAGAAAAGAAAGAAAGAAUCCUGAUACUUGGAGAGAGGGGGCUUCUGUCCUUCCCACGUGCCCUAUAGCUUCCCCAUCUGACAGGCAAAGACUCCAUCCUUGAAGAGACUGACCCUACUCCAGCCAAAACGAGCCAAGAGAAGGUCCUGUCUGCAGAGAAAGAACAAGACCUUACCUCUCUCUCGCAGCUCCUGCCACCUGGGUGCCAGCCAGGGCCCUCCCCUAGAGGCAGGUGUACAGCCCUAGAGUGGCUGACAGGCUGCAUGGUCCUGAGCUCAGUGAGGGUCCCAACGUUCCUCUGAUCCCCUUCCCAGCUCAGGCUCACAGGUGGCCAGUGGUCCCAGCUCCUCUAAUCAGGGUCUUUGGCUUUGAGUCCGUGGCUAACAUGGUGAUUCUAACUGCCGUGUACUACAAAUUAAUUCAUUCCUUUAGGCCUUGCUGUUCUGUAACUGGCUGUCACAGUGAUCGCCCCGGGAGCUAAUUGAGAGUUGCGAUCCGUGGCAGUAUUUCCAUUAGCAGCAUAAUGACAGCAGCCAUCUCGAACACACAAAUACACAUGGAAGCAAAAAACACAGGUGCACACACACUCACAGAAGCUAACCACACACACACACGCACACACACACCCCUGCACAUACAGAGCUGAUUAGCCCCAGUUUGUUAGCACAGAGACCACUGAGAGAUUAUGCUGCCAGGGCUGCCUCUAUCAGCAGAUCUUCUGGGUAAGGAUGGAGCCCCCUGCGAACAUGGCAUACUGGGGGUGGGCCCAAAGCCACUGCCAAGAACACAAGGGCCCUGCUCCAUGGCACCUACCGCUGCCACUGGGCCUGGGGCCAAGGUGCCCCCUUGGGCCAUGGGACCUGAGCUCCUCCAUUGGCUUCCUUUGACCAAGAGGAGGACCGGUGGGGACCAUGGCAGAGACUCAGUAUGUGUGCACAGGCAUGUGGCUGGGGUGGAUGAGGGAUGGAAGUUCAACUGAAUAUUCCAACCAAAGUCACCAGCUGCCUCUUCAUGGCAGGGAGCGCAGAUGCUUGAAUUCAUGGAUUCUUUUCAAAAGCCAUUGUUUGGCUGUGGGCCAGGCACCGCCCUGGGCACUCCAGAGUUGUCUGAGCCUGGAUCCCCAUCCACUCCCCAAGCAGAGCCUGAAAUAGGAUGUGAACAAGGGGGUUGUUGGGUCACCAUCCCAGGAAGCCCCACUGGGGGCGGGGAGUAAUGAAACUGGGAAGGGAAGGGAGGGGAUUCAGGAGUGACAAUGAGCAAGUCACCAUUGGGUGACUGGAACCAGAGAGUGCACAGAGUUCAGCACGUGCAGUGAGUACCUGUAGGAGGGGUGCAUGCAGCAGGAGUUGGCGGGGGGGGGCUGCAGGGAGGGGGUGAGUACAGAGGGGAGGUGGGCCACACCAGCCGUCUUUUUCCUCAGUGGUGCACAAGGAAGACUCAGUCCUUUUCUCAAAGAAGCUUAUUUCAGAUGAAUAGAUCAAGGAGUCAAGUUCAGGUGUUAGAACUCAGUGGCUCAAAGCUGGGCUCUGUCCAGUGGAACAGAGUAGAGGAUGCUGUGGCUGUGAGGUCCUUCUCCUGCAGGAGUUCCUCAAGGCUCCAUCCAGGGCCAUUAUUUUUUAUUUUUAUUUUUUUUUUAGGGCUGCACUCACGGCAUAUUGAAGUUCCCGGGCUGGGGGUCUAAUCAGACCUGCAGCUGCCGGCCUACACCACAGCCACAGCAACGCCAGAUCCAAGCUGCAUCUGCAACCUAUACUUCAACUCACAGCAAUACCGGAUCCUUAACCCACCAGCCAGGCCAGGGAUCAAACCUGCAUCCUCAUGGUCACUAGUCAGGUUCCUUACCCCUGAGCCACAAUAGGAACUCUAGGGCCUCUAUUUCUCACUCCUAUAUCAUCUCCUUCAGCAAAUCCCCUGCAUCAUAGCUUCAGCUGUCUCUGCAGGCAAGUGACUCCCACUCAGAUUAACUCUAGCCUGGCCUUUCCUCAAGGCCCAGUGCUGUGUGUCCAGCUCCCUAGCUGACAUCCUCACUUGGAAGUUGUGAGGCCAGAGACACUAAACUAGAUCAAAAUCAAACUCAUCAUCUCCCCUCCUCCACAGACACCUGGUGGCUAAACACAUCUCAGAGUGUGGCAAUCAUUCAAUUUCUCAAGGUGGAAGCCUAGGAUCCAGUCUGGGCACCUCCCUUUCCCCCCAUGAUUGAUGGCCAAUCAACACCAAGUUCUAUGGACUUUACCUCCCAUUGCCACAUAUUCCAUCUCCACUGCUACCACCCUAAUCUAAGCCAUUCUCCAAGUGAAUAUCAGAUAGGCACUCAGAAACUCUCUGCUGAGAGAGGCAUGACCGAGACAGGCUUGCACUCCUGUGAAGGCUCUGGAGACUAUCUACUCUUCCAGGGUGCUAGAAUGACACUCCAAGGGCAUGCCAUCCACUUCUUAAUCUUCACGGCUUUAAAGAUAAAUGAAAGAAAUAUAUUCCAACUAGAUAAAUUAUAAAACCCAGACAAGGAGUCUGGUAGAUCCAUUGUAAAUGAAUUGCAAUUAAUAUCCUUUCUUUAUAGGUAAUAGAAAUUAUGACUCAAACUCAUUACCUAAGGAAAAGAAGAGGCGGUGGUGGUGGAUGUAAUGGCCCAGAUAACUAAAAAGGCCAGUAAUAGAGCUUCAGGCAUAGCUUGAUCUAGGGGCUAUUGAUACUAUCAGAACCUAAUUUCUCUCUGUUCAUCCCUUGACUCCACUUUUCCUGUAUUAGUUCCAUUCUUGGAGAAGUUCUGACCUCACGAGGGCAAAAUGGUUGCCAGAGAUCCAGUCCAUAGCCUUGCAGGUUCAAAACCAGUUGAAAGAAUUCUCUCUUCCUGUACAAGUUCUGGGAAUCACUCUAAUUAUAGUAAUUUGGAACAUGUGCCCAUCCUGAACCAAUCUUUUGGACCAGGGGUAUUAAAUAUGCUGAUUAACCAGGGUCUGAAGCUCUGAACAGGGCCCUGGAUAGCUUGAGAGUAAAGGAGAUUGGGUCCCCAAAGGUGAAUCUGAGUACUAUUUACUCAAAGAAGGAGAAUGGAAGCCAAGGACAGUGGCCACAAACAACAAAUCCUCAUUAUUAUUACAUACCCAGAACAAAAGGAGGCUUCACCAAGGUCCAGCAGGACCCUUGGAUGGAAGUUCGUGGAGGUCAAUUACCUGUAAAUGGGUGCAGCAGCCAUUUGAACAGAGCUCUGGCCCUGCCUUGCUUGUUCCAGAGUCCAACAUACAGGUUCAAAGCCAUAUCCUACACUCAUGUAAUGCAGGGGUUGGGAUGGGAGAGGAAGAGAUCUGGGUCCAUCCACUUUCCCCAUGAUUUUGUUUAUGGAUCAUAUCACCCCUCACUUGAUGUACCAUGUUGAACAAUGUCUCCCCAAAUUCAUGCCCUCCUGGAGCCCUGGAAGGUGAUCCUUUUUGGAAAUAGGGUCUUUCCAGAUACAAUGAGUUAAAAGGAGGUCAUACUGGAUUAGGGACUAUCCUAUAUCCAAUAUGACUGGUAUCCUCAGGAGAAGAGGAGAGGGACACACAGACACAGGCACAGACACAGACACAGAAAAGAAAGCCAUAUGACAGCAGAGGCAGACCAGAGUGAUGCUGCUACCAGCCAAGGAACACCCAGGGUUGCCAACAGCCACCAGAAGCAAGGAAGAAGUGAGGAAAGAUUCUCCCCUAGAGCCUUUGGAAAGAGCGUGACCCUGAUGACCCCUUGAUUUCAGACUUCUAGCCUCCCAAACUGUGAGAGAGUACAUUUCCAUUGUUCUAAGCCCCCUGGUUUAUGGCAUUUUGUCAUAGUAACCUUUGGAAUCUAACACACAUGGCCUGACCUUGUUCCAUAUAACCCCAUUCCUUAAGAUCCACCUCUCAAGAAACAGACAAAAACCAGCAGGACACAAAGCAUUUGUGUGCAUAGCAAACAUUAAAGUUCAGAGGAUUUUUAUUUGGUCACAUCAGAAACCCGUGACCUUAAGACACUGG